GUCGGCCGCUCCUUCACUCCAUCUGAAAAUAGCACAAUAGAAGUACCAACUCUAGAUUUUUCUUAACCUUUUGAAGAAUCAAAGCUUGGGGUUUAUUUUCUUGAUGGAUUAGAGGCUUGUAAUUGGAUUGGAGGAAGGCGUCUCUACACCUCUUGGGAAUUAAUUUGUAGAGUUUCAAAUCUACACUUUUGCUAUUUUUGGAGAUUCAUAGACUUUUGUGUGGCUCGCCUCAACUUGGAAGACUAGAAUUUUUUUGAAGGAUCAAACGUGGGCAUCUUGUAGUUGAGGUUUUGCUUAGGGUCAUUCUAGGAUGUAAGUUUACCCUUUAUUUUUUUAUGAAGGAGGUUGACUGUAAAUAUUUGCUUAUGAAGUUGGAUAUAUUGAUGGAUUCGUGAAUAAUAUGUUUUAUUUUUGGGGAA